UCAGACUCAACCCUUCUUUAUUAAUCAUAACUCUUCACAUUCUUUUUUAGGAAUUCUCAUAUAUAUUUAAUUCUAUAUCCAUCCAUAAUUAAUUUCAUAUCCAUAAUCAAUAUUAAACACACAAUUAACCACAUAGUCGUUGGGUACGGUGUUUACUAUUGAAGUUUAUCUAAACCUACAUAAUUAGUACGUUCUUACACUCCAUAAGUUUUUAAUUACACAUUCAAACUCUGAUCUUCAAUACAACUGAUGAUUUGCUCAUCGCUUCCGAACAACAACACGAGUGGAUUACUAUCCAUCACAGAAUCUGCAACAUUGUCUUUGCGUUAUUAUACCAAUACAUUGGAUUAUCGAGUCAUCACCUGACCAACCGAUCAUCCAACAAUAUCGCUAUUAUAUACUUAAGCAUUAUCAUAUUUAUCAUCUAGCAUACAUUCAUAAUAUUGUUUUAAGUAUUAACCAAAGACAUUCAAUUUCUCCCAAGAUAUAUAUUUUCAUAUUUGUAUAUCUCUAUCAGUCAUAUGAAGAUAGGGAUCAUCUAUUCUUUGAGUGCACAUACUCAAUUAUGGUUUGAGUCUCAAAGAAGGUGAUUUGAAGUUAUGAAGCAUUUGUGUAUCACAUUUGGUUGGAGAAGAGGUGUAGGAGAAGUUUGAGAAGACUAGCUUGGAGGCACAAGAAAUCGCUAGAAGGAUCAUCUCGAACGUUAAAUCUUCUUUUAAUGUCUUGAGAUUUAAGCAUAAGUGUGAUUAUCAUUUAGAAAGUGUUGUAUUAGAUAAAUGGGAUAGAAGUCGAACCUUAUAGAUAUGCAUAAUGGACAGGGAAGCAUUAAUCCAAGACAUACGAAACAAGAUGGAAGUAUCGGACGACGAGGAAGGUGAGUUGGAGUUACCUGAGGAGGAAGAAGACAUCGGCGAUUGGUAAGACAUAGAAGAGGAGUGUUCACUCUUAAUUCCAAAAUUUAUGAAUACCCCUCUAUUGCCUCGUUCGUCUUGCCCUAGUCUUAUUUUUGGGGACGGGUCUCAAUCCAAGCCUGUCUCGUUUUCAUCCCUAUUACUUAAUUGAUUAAAUAUUUUAGGAUUUUGGAGAAUCCUCAAUAUUAAUUUUUGACCUAAAG
rnacentral:lncRNA from 1 species